rnacentral:rRNA from 1 species
CCUACGGGAGGCAGCAGUGAGGAAUAUUGGUCAAUGGUCGGGAGACUGAACCAGCCAAGCCGCGUGAGGGAUGAAGGUACAGAGUAUCGUAAACCUCUUUUGUCAGGGAACAAAGGCGGGGACGUGUCCCCGGAUGAGUGUACCUGAAGAAAAAGCAUCGGCUAACUCCGUGCCAGCAGCCGCGGUAAUACGGAGGAUGCGAGCGUUAUCGGGAUUUAGUGGGUUUAAAGGGUGCGCAGGCGGUCUGUUAAGUCAGCGGUCAAAGCCCGGGGCCCAACCCGGGCCCGCCGUUGAAACUGGCAGUCUCGAGUUGGAGAGAAGUAUGCGGAAUGCGCGGUGUAGCGGUGAAAUGCAUAGAUAUCGCGCAGAACUCCGAUUGCGAAGGCAGCAUGCCGGCUCCACACUGACGCUGAGGCACGAAAGCGUGGGUAUCGAACAGGAUUAGAUACCCUUGUAGUC